rnacentral:lncRNA from 1 species
AGAUGUUGGAUGAAGUAUCUCCUGAGGUAAAGAUUUGAGUGCAGUUCACGUGGACCACCGCGUGAGAGUGAGACUUAGCCAACGCCAAGGAAUGACUGUGUGUCAGAUGCAAAAACAUGUUUAUGGGUAUGGGACAUUUAACAGCCUUGGCGGUCUCAGUGGGAUACCUUGACGAAGGUACCCGCGAGAAUGAUUUUGGUAGAAGCCAAGUUUUGUGAGAUAUAUAAGCCAUGUUGAUUAAUUGAGUAAACUGAAUAUUAAUGUUAAGAAACAUAUAUUGAAAAAGAAUAUUUUAAUUCGUCUCCAUUUACUUGCCUUUAGAUAGUUUAGAUGGUGUCUGUUUAUUCACUGGGAUUUUAUAAUUUCACCACCCUCAUUUCCUCACAUUUCAGGCUCAAGGAAUUCCAUAGUUAGCUGACUUUGACAAGGACCUUCAUUUGGACUUGAAUCGGCAAAAGUUGUAGGUUUUCAGCUUCCGAUGCAUUUUGGUUAGUUGGGGGCCCACGUGUCACUAUAAAAGUAAAUUUAUACUUCAGUUAUCUGAUUUAAAGUAUGUAUGAACAUAUUUAGCUUUUACACCAUGUUUUUGGCGGGUUUCGAUAUUUUUGAAAAAAAAAUGACGAAAAUG